GCGGCGGGCGGAGCGGGCCUGCUCCGCUCCGCUCCGCUCCUCCUCGCCCUGCCCGGCCCGGGGUCGCCCCGCCGCGGUCCGUGAUGAGUAGCCACUGCGCAAGCCGAGUUCCGCGGGGACCGAUGAGAACAAUAUUGAAACUGACCACAUGUGAUUGAAACUGCAUUAAGCUUCAAGAUCAAAGAACAAGGUCAAGAAUAAAGACUUCAAGGACAGCCAGCAAGAACUUCAAUGGGUCGGUGGUCGCAAAAGCAGCCCUUCGACUCAAAUGGAUCCUUCAUUGCGCAUGAUCAGAUGUAGGAAGUACUAUGAUAAUCAGUUACAAUCAUUUUUAUGUAUAGGUAUACUAAUCUGAUUAAUAUGCAAUUAGUUAUUCUAUAUAACCUGUUUGUGCUAAAGCUGUGGUAUGCACGCUAGGUGGAACUAUCCCCCGCGCAUCCAGCGCUGCAAUAAAGAACACCUGCUUUCUAAAACUCCAAAACGAGUCUUGGAGAGUUUCUUCGACCAGCUUUUCAGUAUCAUUUCCAAUGGUUUCAUGAGUCUAGAGAUCAGUGAACAUCCAGCAAUAUGCAACUUU